GCCAGGACUCGGCGACACCAGACUGGCACAGUGGGACUAAACUCACACGUCUAUCGGUCAACAACACAUGUUCAUGAACAGACUCCUGCGGUAGCAGACGAGGGUCCGGCUCCACAGCCAGCGCAGCCGCAGGCCGAGUCGAGUCGAGUCGAGAUGGACUCAGGGUUGGACUGCGACACCGCGGUGGAAACACUCGCCAACUAUUCCAGACAUUGGCCUGGUUGAGGCCUUCAGACGUGUGAGUGGACACAGAAGCUGAGGCCCAGAGCCGUCAUGACUCUUCGCUCUGCGGCGGAGUCAAAACACGGCGAUGAUACAGUUGCAGGAAAUAGACGGAGCCCAGGCGGCCAACAGCGGCGGACACACAGCACAGACAUCAAGCAGUUCAUGCGCGACCACAUUCUUGUCAGGGGUCAACGUUAACUUCACUUUUAUUGACGUAGCAGUAAGAAGAAAAACCACGUAUCCACUUCACACACAGCAGCUCUGGUGAAGAAAGGAUGCACAAAUCCUGAUGGAUAUCGAAGUUCAGAUCCAGGACGAGUCUUUGGAAGCGCUCCAGGAAUGAGCACAAGUGGUUCUCCAUAACAACCUGUGACUCGCUGAAAACAAAUAGACGGCGUACCCCAUCAGCCGCCUCUGAUCACCCACAAAAAGGGAGGGAAGGUUCCACACUUUUCAGAGUCAACAGCGCCAGCUUCACUCUCCUGACAGAAGCUCAGAAGAAUCUGGCCGUGGGCCGGCGGUGUCGGCGAUACGUCCUUCACUGGAAUCCUUUUUCAUUUUCUUCCCUUUUUUGGAUUUUUUCUUCUUCUCCUGCAUCAUUUCAGGGUCACUGUGGAAUGAGCAUAGAUCCGUGAAACACUAGGACAAUAACUCUAAACAUCAGUGGACUACAGAGGUGGAAAGUUUAGAUAGGACAAAAGUGUUGUCCGGUCACCUAUGCUCAGGAGCUGCAGGAGAAACGCCCUCAGCUGACCCGUCGUCGUCCAGCUGCCUUUUCGCUGCCUUCUCAGGCGCAGGAUCAACCGGCCUUUCGUCUGCAGAACAUAGGAGAUACCAAGAUCAAAACCAAGCUGUUGUUGUGUGACCUGUUGAAUGUUACGUGCUCUGAAGCUGAUGGUUGUCCACCAUCUAAGACACCUGGAGCUGGGCUACUGCUCAGCCCCCAGUAGCUCCAAGCACAGGAUGAUGAAGCCCACCACCAGUCCAGGAGUGAGUCAAGUCUCAUGGACCAUCCGUCCAGGUGUGAGUCAACUCUCAUGGACCAUCCGUCCAGGUGUGAGUCAAGUCUCAUGGACCAUCCGUCCAGGUGUGAGUCAAGUCUCAUGGACCAUCUGUCCAGGUGCGAGUCAAGUCUCAUGGACCAUCAGUCCAGGUGUGAGUCAAGUCUCAUGGACCAUCUGUCCAGGUGCGAGUCAAGUCUCAUGGACCAUCAGUCCAGGUGUGAGUCAAGUCUCGUGGCAGAAACCGAGCACAAAAUGCAUUGGGUCUUGCGGUGGCGACGCACCUGCUUCUGUGCCUGGCUGCUGUCCGUUCUCCAACUCUUCGUCCACGGUCAGAUCCAAGCCGGCCCACUUCUUGUAGACAGGGACCAGCACCGCGCGCGGACACUCGACCAGCGCCGCGGCUUCGGAGAUGCCCAGACCCAGUCGAAUGGCCAUCACAAUCUGGCCCUUGUCAAAGUCGCUCAAUUUCGAGAACUUCUCCGUUUUCCUCGCUGCCAUCGCUGGGAGUUGAGUCGCAGGCCACUCGGCCAACGCGUCGUUCCGGGGCUCGAAAAACAACAGCGCUACCACGACGCGCAGCCGCGUUUCAACCGUGGCAGGCUGUGACGUAAUCACUCAGAAGUAUCGCGAUAAACGAAUUCUCGCAACCUUUGCGCAUGCUCGAAGGACACAGCCUUUGCAAUGACUCAAUACAGUAGGAGUAUAAUAAUAGUCGUUCCGUGAUUCCAGGCGCAGUUUUGCGAAACCAUUCAAUAAGUUAUUCACUAAUUCUUUACUAAAUAAAACUGUUUUAUUGACUCACCGACCAAUGAAAUGACUGAGCGACCCAGCACGCGGCGAAUCACGGCUCCAGUUGACACGCUGCAGCCGAGUGAACACAGUCUCUAAAGCUGACAAAGGCUACAAUCAGACCUCAGAUCUAACAGAAAACAUGGAGAGACCAAUGAAAAAGCAUCCUUCAAAAGAUUCCUGGAUCCAGAUGGUGAUCCAGAUCAUCUGGGCUCGAAACACUGAGGCUCUUUACAAACAGGGUCAGAGUCGUCUCUACUUCUUGAGGAGGCUCGGGUCCUUCAACGUCUGCGGGACCACGCUGAGGAUGUUUCAUGAGUCGGUGGUGUCCAGUGCAAUUCUGUUCACUGAGGUUUGCGGCCGCAGCAGAUUAACGGUGGCAACAGACUCAUCCGCAAAGCUGGUGAUGUGGUGGGGGUGAAACUGGACUCCUUGGUGACGGAUGCUCCUGAAACUAAGGAGCAUCCUGGACAACAUCACCCACCCCCUCCAUCUGCUCCUGGUCCAAUACAGAAGCACAUGGACAAAUAGACAGAGACUGCCUGACUCAAAGACCGAGCGCCACAGGAGCUCCUUUCUUCCUAUGGCAAUUAAAACAUACAAUUCAUCCCUGAAAAAAAUACAAAGAGUUUUUUUUUGGCACAUUUUCUGUUCUUGAACUGCAUUUGUUGCACAAUGUUUUUCUAAGAUCCUUUGUAUCACUUUUUUUCCACUUUAUAAUAUUAUUUCUUUUUAAUUUAUUGUGAUAUGUUGUGUACAGAGCAUGUUACAAACACAAUUUCCCUUGGGAUUAAUAACGUUUUUCUGAUUCUGAUUUCUUCCCUGUACAGUUGAACAUAUUUCCUGAAAAUGUUAUCAAAAUCAAAUUUGGAUCUGAAGCAUAACCUUCCUGUCGGCGGCAUUUAAAACCCUCAGAAAACAAUAAUCUGGAACCAAGAAGUGGAAGCUUCUAUGGUAUGGUAUGGUCGAUAAUGAUUUAAUCAUUUAACCUUAUAACCAGUUUCAUUUCUUCUCCCGAGAAUUUCAGACGCCAAUAGGCCUUCUUAUGACAGUCACUAGAUGGCGCUCACUGCUCUAAAUUCCUUGGCUUUGACCUUUUCAGCGCCCAUUUUAAAGCAGGCAGCGCCACCUACUGAGCUCUGUAAAUGAGGACGAUGUCAAUAGCGCAUGGUAUUUCUGUGUUCCAUCACCAUAAAUCAGUUGUAUGGCCAAAUAGAGGAGACCUUUCUUUUCUGUCAGUAUGUCUGCGUCCGUAAAGAAAAAUGACCUUGCAACCGACAUGCUUCUGACGACCACAGGGCUUCAAAGAUGCUGGAUUUAUUUUAUGGGGAAAUAUUUGUAGUAUUUUAAAAUACUUCACCAUGAAAUUGCGAUGCUUUCAUUGGUUCUAGGAUCUGAUCAUUUCUGUUUAUUCACAUGGUAUUU